UACAGAGGGUGCAAGCGUUAAUCGGAUUUACUGGGCGUAAAGCGUGUGUAGGUGGUGCGUAAGUCGAUUGUGAAAUCCCCGGGCUCAACCUGGGAACUGCUUUCGAUACUGCGUCACUAGAGUACGGUAGAGGGUGGUGGAAUUUCCGGUGUAGCGGUGAAAUGCGUAGAUAUCGGAAGGAACAUCAAUGGCGAAGGCAACCACCUGGGCCUGUACUGACACUGAGACACGAAAAGCGAUGGGGGAUCGAAAACAGG
rnacentral:rRNA from 1 species